GACGAACGCUGGCGGCGUGCUUAACACAUGCAAGUCGAACGGAAAGGCCUGCUUUCCCUUGUGGAUUGCGGGUACUCGAGUGGCGAACGGGUGAGUAACACGUGAGUGAUCUGCCCCCAACUUGGGUAUAAGCCUGGGAAAGUUGGUCUAAUUCCCGAUAGGACUGCAGGGUGGUGCCUGUGGGGGAAAACGACUUUCUAGUGGAUGGGGAUGAGCUCGCGGCCUAUCAGCUUGUUGGGGGGGUAAUGGCCUACCAAGGCGGCGACGGGUAGCCGGCCUGGGAGGGUGGACGGCCACAUUGGGACUGAGAUACGGCCCAGACUCCUACGGGAGGCAGCAGUGGGGAAUAUUGCACAAUGGGCGGAAGCCUGAUGCAGCGACGCCGCGUGGGGGAUGACGGCCUUCGGGUUGUAAACUCCUUUCGACCGCGAGGAAGCCACCUGGUUGGAAGGGUGGUGACGGUAGUGGUAGAAGAAGCACCGGCUAACUACGUG
rnacentral:rRNA from 1 species